UACGAAGGGGGCUAGCGUUACUCGGAUUGACUGGGCGUAAAGGGCGCGUAGGCGGUUUGUACAGUCAGACGUGAAAUUCCUGGGCUCAACCUGGGGGCUGCGUUUGAUACGUGCGGACUUGAGUUCGGAAGAGGGUCGUGGAAUUCCCAGUGUAGAGGUGAAAUUCGUAGAUAUCAGGAGGAACACCAAUGGCGAAGGCAGCUCGCUGGGACGGUACUGACGCUGAGGCGCGAAAGCGUGGGGAGCAAACAGGG
rnacentral:rRNA from 1 species